rnacentral:rRNA from 1 species
ACCCGCUGAACUUAAGCAUAUCAAUAAGCGGAGGAAAAGAAACCAACAGGGAUUGCCUCAGUAACGGCGAGUGAAGCGGCAACAGCUCAAAUUUGAAAUCUGGCCCCUUCGGGGUCCGAGUUGUAAUUUGUAGAGGGUGCUUCGGCUUACGGCGUGGUCUAAGUUCCUUGGAACAGGACGUCACAGAGGGUGAGAAUCCCGUACGUGGCCGCGCCUUCCGCCAUGUGAAGCCCCUUCGACGAGUCGAGUUGUUUGGGAAUGCAGCUCUAAAUGGGAGGUAAAUUUCUUCUAAAGCUAAAUAUCAGCCAGAGACCGAUAGCGCACAAGUAGAGUGAUCGAAAGAUGAAAAGCACUUUGGAAAGAGAGUUAAAAAGUACGUGAAAUUGUUGAAAGGGAAGCGCUUGCGACCAGACUUGACCGCGGAUGCUCAGCCGGCCCUCCGGCCGGUGUACUCUUCCGCGGUCAGGCCAGCAUCAGUUUGGGCGGCCGGAUAAAGGCCCCGGGAAUGUGGCUCCCCUCGGGGAGUGUUAUAGCCCGGGGUGCAAUGCGGCCCGCCCGGACUGAGGACCGCGCUUCGGCUAGGAUGCUGGCGUAAUGGUCGUAAGCGGCCCGUCUUGAAACACGG